UUGGUUGAUNCCUGCCAGUAGUGUAUGCUUCUCCUAAAGACUAAGCCAUGCAUGCCUUCGAAUAAGAGGAAGCAAUUCUCUCUGAAUCUGCGAACGGCUCCGCAAACCAGUUGUAAACUAUAGCAAGCAAGCUCAGGGCUGGCCUUCACUGGCCGGCUCGGGGCGAUAUGGAUAACCCUGGUAAUUCUGAGGCUAAUACAAGAGUGUAAACCUUGGAGGACCGGCUUCGGCUGGGAAUCUGGGGGAUGUGCGAUUGCAGGCUUGGUAACACCGGGAAAGGGCGCACGUUCAGAUCACGCUAAAAAGGUCGGGCUCCUUCGGGGGCCUGCCCCAGUGACUCUUGCUGUGUGCUUCUGACCUAUCAACUAGACGGCAGCGUAAGGGACAUGCUAUGGUGACAACGGGUACAGAGGAUUAGGGUUCGAUCCUGGAGAGUGGGCCUGAGAGAUUGCUCAUACUUCUAAGGAAGGCAGCAGGCGCGCAACGUUCCCCUUGGGCAAUGCCCGAGGGCGUUAGGGGACAUAUGAAUGCCUGCCCAUUGGGUGGGCAAUUCAAAUGGGUCUGUUGUAAACAGGCUCUCGAGUAACAAUUAGAGGGACAAGUCA
rnacentral:rRNA from 1 species